rnacentral:rRNA from 1 species
UGGGUAACCUGCCUCAAAGAGGGGAAUAGCCUCCCGAAAGGGAGAUUAAUACCGCAUAAUAUGUUUAAGUCGCAUGACUUUAACAUCAAAGGAUUUUCUUUUAGAAAUUCCACUUUGAGAUGGACCCGCGGCGCAUUAGCUAGUUGGUGAGGUAACGGCUCACCAAGGCAACGAUGCGUAGCCGACCUGAGAGGGUGAUCGGCCACAUUGGAACUGAGACACGGUCCAGCUCCUAGGNGG